rnacentral:misc_RNA from 1 species
CGCACAGCACGCAAGCGGCAGACGAAAUCGACACAACCGAAACUGACUGAUUUUUUUAUUACCAAGAAAUGAACAAUACUCUAUACAACUACAUAAGUUAAUGUGUACUGUGCAUAUAUAUUUCAUGUUAUUUCAAUUAUAACGGAGUUUAUCUCAAAGCUUCAGAUUAGGCCCAUUCUACUCAGAUCGGUAUGACAACUGCGAUUGUGGCUGCAACCCUUAUUAUGACAAUUGCAACAAUGGCCCUUAUUGGGAUCCGUCAUGCAAUCCUUGCUGUGAACAUAAAAAAACUAUCAACAUUUACGAGUCACCAUUGAUGGACAGAUACAAACUUUGUGUAGGACGUUGCGGUUGUGAUGGCUUUGGUUAUGGUAGUUGUGGUCAUGGUUAUGGUGACGGAGGAUGUGGCAACAAGGGGAAAUGGUUGCACAGUCCAUUUUCGAAACAAAUUUAUAGAAUUAAAACAUAUAGUUGUCUGUAACUUUUUGUAUGUUUGUACUUAGUUUGUAUUAAACGUUUUAUCUAA